UCAGAAGAGAAUGAGCUAGCAAACUGCGU
rnacentral:sRNA from 1 species